CACUUGCCCUGCACCCGAGAUACCUCCUCCAUUCAGGCCACACAAGAUCAGCACUAAUGAGCCUCCCGUCAGGGGCACCCCAGCUCUGAGAAGAAUGCAGGAGCCAAUGCAGACGCGGAUGAGAAAUAAUCACUAUGUGGGAGACUCCACCUCUGCCUUCCCCAUGACUCAGGCUCUCCAGACUCAGUCUACAUGGGAGAAAGACAGCACCUAUGGGCUAAAUGUGCUAGAGAAAUUCCAGCACCACAGCUGUAGAUAGGGCAUAGGGUAGACAAGCAUGCUCGUCCCCAGUAAGGUCCAGUAUAUUGGAACUGAGCAGCCAAGGCCCCAGAAAGCCAAGGCCCCAAAGAGCCCCAAGAUGAGCUAACAGGAAUAGAGAUGGGGAAGGCCACAUGAGAAGCCACAGAAGAGAACACUCAGAAGUACAAUGGACUGUGUCAAGCACUUCAAGCACCUGUGCCAGGUGUUGAAGGCUGGACAGAGGCCGAGGCCGUGCCCCAGCCCAGUGAUAAGCACAGACUGCCUACCUGUUCAUCAAGCAGUGUGCCCUGCCUUAGGCCUCAAAAAUAAGGAAUGAGGCUUGCUGCCAGGUAGCACAGGAUGUGGACUGGGAAGCCACUGGACCAAGCUUCAGUCAGAAAGGAACAAGCCACAGAGUUGUUUAAUC
rnacentral:lncRNA from 1 species